rnacentral:rRNA from 1 species
UACGUAGGUGGCAAGCGUUGUCCGGAAUUACUGGGCGUAAAGCGCGCGUAGGCGGACCUGCAAGUCGGGGGUGAAAGCCCGAGGCUCAACCUCGGAACUGCCUUCGAUACUGCGGGUCUCGAGUCCGGGAGAGGUGAGUGGAAUUCCUAGUGUAGAGGUGAAAUUCGUAGAUAUUAGGAAGAACACCAGUGGCGAAGGCGGCUCACUGGCCCGGUACUGACGCUGAGGGCG